rnacentral:lncRNA from 1 species
GCGCCUAGGGUUUUCCAAACCCUAGGUGGCCGAAUUUUCAAACCCUAGGGGGCCCAAACCCUAGCUUUUCAAAGACGGGCCGAGUUUACGUUUUUGAGUUUUUUUUUUUAUUUCUUUUCUGUUCUUUGUAAUAGAUUAGAAAUAUGGGGUUCCACGAAUGGGUCACGAAGAACUUUAUUGUUUUAUUUCUGUUCUUUGCAUGUCGUGGUGUUAAUCCUUUAUGCUCUUUGCAUGCUGUUAUUGUCUCUGCUUGUUAAUAUGUGUUUAUUAACUGCGCUUAGACAAGCAUGC